rnacentral:misc_RNA from 1 species
GGCUGGAUCACCUCCUUUCUAAGGAGCUCUCUCGCCUCGGAUCAAAACGAGGUCGCGAUGAUGCACCUGAGGUCGAAAGGAAUCUGCUGAAGCGCAAGCAACAGCAAGCGUUUCCCUCCUUGUCUUUCCUGUUCAGUUUUCAGGGAACCGGCUCAACGGUUCUAUGACAAACGAAUCGCUGCGGAUAUGGCUGGCUGACGAAGAUCCGAUUCAGCUAUCGACCAACACGAAGUCGACGCGGGCCUAUAGCUCAGUUGGUUAGAGCGCACGCCUGAUAAGCGUGAGGUCGGUAGUUCGAAUCUACCUAGGCCCACCAUCUCCUCCCGUGAAUUGAGCAUGGUGAACUGAGAAUUGACCUCCGGACGAGUUCUCAGCUCUCAAUCCUCAAUUCCGCCGGGGCUGUAGCUCAGCUGGGAGAGCAUCUGGUUUGCAACCAGAGGGUCGUCGGUUCGAUCCCGAUCAGCUCCACCAAUUCCGCAACGAUCGCGAGCAUCAGCAGUGCGCACGGACACUCCGCGCGCACUGCCGAUCUUCGCGAUUCCGCGUUUCUUUGACAAUUGAAUAUGGGUAAGUAGAUAGAGAUGCACAACACAAUUCGAAAGAAUGUGGAACUGCAGAUCGCAUGAGAUCAAGGCACUUUAUGGUCAAGUUACUAAGGGUUGACGGUGGAUGCCUUGGCACAGAGAGGCGAUGAAGGACGUGGCAAGCAGCGAUAUGCCUCGGGGAGCGGCAAGCACGCUUUGAUCCGGGGAUUUCCGAAUGGGGCAACCCCACUGGAGUCAUGUCCAGUGACCGCGGGCUGAAUACAUAGGUCCGACGGAGCGAACCGAGGGAAGUGAACCAUCUCAGUACCUCGAGGAAGAGAAAUCAAACGAGAUUCCGUCAGUAGCGGCGAGCGAACGCGGAAGAGCCCAAACCGAUUGCCUUCGGGUGGUCGGGGUUGUGGGGCCUGUUCACAUGGAGUGACAAACCGAACGCGUAGCCGAAGAGUCCGGAACGGCUCACCAGAGAAGGUGACAGUCCUGUAGGCGAAACGCGAGCGGCUCCGAGCAGGUACCCGAGUACCACGGGACACGUGGAACCCUGUGGGAAUCUGGGGGGACCAUCCUCCAAGGCUAAAGACUACUCUGUGACCGAUAGCGCACUAGUACCGUGAGGGAAAGGUGAAAAGAACCCCUGUUAGGGGAGUGAAAUAGUACCUGAAACCGUCAAUCUACAAGCAGUGGAACCGCUAUGCCUCCGCAAGGGGGAAUGCGGGACCGCGUGCCUUUUGCAUAAUGAGCCGGCUAGUUACUCUCAGGGGCAAGGCGAAGCAAUUUGCAGAGCCGUAGCGAAAGCGAGUCUGAAUAGGGCGAACAUAGUCGCUGGGAGUACACGCGAAGCGGGAUGAUCUAGGCAUGGCCAGGAUGAAACCUGGGUAACACCAGGUGGAGGUCCGAACCAGUGUUGGUUGAAAACAGCUUGGAUGAGCUGUGCCUAGGGGUGAAAGGCCAAUCAAAUUCCGUUAUAGCUCGUUCUCUCCGAAAUAUCUUUAGGGAUAGCGUCGCGGUGACCAUGAUGGUGGUAGAGCGCUGGAUGGACUAGGGGCCUUACCGGGUUACUGAAUCCAACCAAACUUCGAAUGCCAUCAAUGCAAUACGCGGCAGUCAGACGGCGGGGGAUAAGCUUCGUCGUCGAGAGGGGAACAACCCAGACCGCCAGCUAAGGUCCCCAAAUUCACGCUAAGUGGAAAAGGAUGUGGAGACGCACAGACAGCCAGGAGGUUAGCUUAGAAGCAGCCACCCUUUAAAGAAAGCGUAAUAGCUCACUGGUCAAGUGGCUCCGUGCCGACAAUGUAACGGGGCUCAAGCGUGAUACCGAAGCUGCGGAUCAACAGUUUUCUUCGGAAAACGGUUGGUGGUAGGAGAGCAUUCUGAACCGGAGUGAAGUCAGACCGACAAGGACUGGUGGACCGUUCAGAAGAGACUCUGCCGGCACAAGUAGCGAUAAAGUGUGUGAGAAUCACACUCGCCGUAAGUCUAAGGUUUCCUGAGGAAGGUUCGUCCGCUCAGGGUUAGUCGGUCCCUAAGGCGAGGCCGAAAGGCGUAGUCGAUGGAAAACAGGUCAACAUUCCUGUACCGGACCGUGCUGCGAUGGGGUGACGCAGGAGGAUAGGUGAGCCCGCGAACGGAAGUGCGGGUUGAAGCUGGUAGGAUGGCUGGACAGGUAAAUCCGUCUGGUUAGAUCCGAGAAGCGAGUACGAGCCCUCUUUUGGGCGAAGUCACUGAUUCCAGGCUGCCAAGGAAACCCUCUAAGCUUCAGGCACGGGACGACCGUACCGUAAACCGACACAGGUAGACGGGAAGAGAAUUCCAAGGCGCGUGAGUGAUCCCUCGUGAAGGAACUCGGCAAAUUAGCACCGUAACUUCGGAAGAAGGUGUGCUGGUUGUCGUUAGCUUCCUCGCGAAGUGAAGCGACAGCUAGUCGCAGUGAAAUGCCCCAAGCGACUGUUUAUCAAAAACACAGGGCUCUGCUAAGUCGAAAACGACGUAUAGGGUCUGACUCCUGCCCGGUGCCGGAAGGUUAAGGGGAGCGGUUAGCCGCAAGGCGAAGCUGCGAACCGAAGCCCCGGUAAACGGCGGCCGUAACUAUAACGGUCCUAAGGUAGCGAAAUUCCUUGUCGGGUAAGUUCCGACCUGCACGAAUGGAGUAACGAUUUGGGGACUGUCUCCACGAGGGGCUCAGCGAAUCUGUAGCGCUGGUGAAGAUGCCAGCUACCCGCAACUAGACGGAAAGACCCUGUGCACCUUUACUGCACCCUGGCAGUGAACUUUGGUGCUGUAUGUGUAGGAUAGGUGGGACUCUUUGAAGCCGGGCCGCUAGGUUCGGUGGAGAGGCCGGUGAAAUACCACCCUUACAGUACCGAAGUUCUAACCGAGGUCCCUGAUCGGGAUCCGGAACAUUGCCAGGCGGGCAGUUUGACUGGGGCGGUCGCCUCCCAAAGUGUAACGGAGGCUCG